rnacentral:rRNA from 1 species
UGACCUCAAAUCAGGUAGGACUACCCGCUGAACUUAAGCAUAUCAAUAAGCGGAGGAAAAGAAACCAACCGGGAUUGCCUCAGUAACGGCGAGUGAAGCGGCAAAAGCUCAAAUUUGAAAUCUGCGUAAGCCGAGUCGUAAUUUGAAGAUGGCUACUUUGGUAAUGGCUCUUGUCUAUGUUCCUUGGAACAGGACGUCACAGAGGGUGAGAAUCCCGUGCGAUGAGAUGUCCAUUACCGUGUAAAGUGCUUUCGAAGA